rnacentral:rRNA from 1 species
CCUACGGGAGGCAGCAGUAAGGAAUAUUGGUCAAUGGACGAAAGUCUGAACCAGCCAUGCCGCGUGAAGGAUGAAGGCCCUCUGGGUUGUAAACUUCUUUUAUCUGGGACGAAAAAAGGGCUUUCUAGCUCACUUGACGGUACCAGAGGAAUAAGCACCGGCUAACUCCGUGCCAGCAGCCGCGGUAAUACGGAGGGUGCAAGCGUUAUCCGGAUUCACUGGGUUUAAAGGGUGCGUAGGUGGGUCUGUAAGUCAGUGGUGAAAUCUCCGAGCUUAACUCGGAAACUGCCAUUGAUACUAUAGGUCUUGAAUCAUCUGGAGGUAAGCGGAAUAUGUCAUGUAGCGGUGAAAUGCUUAGAUAUGACAUAGAACACCAAUUGCGAAGGCAGCUUACUACGGGUGCAUUGACACUGAGGCACGAAAGCGUGGGGAUCAAACAGGAUUAGAUACCCUGGUAGUCCACGCCCUAAACGAUGGAUACUCGACAUCAGCGAUACACUGUUGGUGUCUGAGCGAAAGCAUUAAGUAUCCCACCUGGAAGUACGACCGCAAGUUGAACGUCAAAUGAAUUGACGG